UGGAUUCCUGCACAUAGAUGAGCCAUAUUCAGUCUGGGAAGUCUUUGAGCUGCAAGUUGCCGGAGGCUGGAGGUGAAAGAUCCAUUGUGGACCUUCCUCAGUCAGAUUGCUCUGAAUGCUUUGGAGGAGAGGCACAAGUUGUAUAUAAAGGGGCUGAGCUGCUGGAUGCUUUGCAGCAGGGUCRGCUUUGUGGCACUGCCUCCCC